rnacentral:sRNA from 1 species
UAUCUAUCAUACAGGGCCUGAAAUGGUCCAGAUAGGUAUAGGAAACAGUUCAUGGACCUCUGCACAUCACUGGCCCUUUGAUCAACAGUUUGGCUUUCUUCUCUACAAAACUAAGGCAAGACUGCCACCAUCGUAAUAGGCACGGGUGCUGGUCGGUACUCAUUGAGGUCGGUCUGAUGUACCUGAACUGGGCGACGAAGGUGGUCAGACGGCAGAUGGAAUUAUGGAUGUAUGAGCCUUGGGCUCGCUCGUUAUAGAUCUCAUUCUCUUGGAUCUCCAAAAGACCGAUCUACGACAGCCACUGCUUCGCAAUCUGAAGAUUGUACGCUGAACAAGCCAAUGAUUAACGAUUCAUUUGAUACCUGAACCCCUUAUUUCACGCACAAGAAUCAUUAAUAACAUUGCUUAUGGAGCGACAAACAACUUUUCCAUGUAUUUUUUGGCUAUUAUUAUCUGUGAUGAAUUUUUUAAAGACCUU